GAAACACUAAAAGUGAGUGAGAUAAGUAAUGCGGUCAGAAUAAACGUUGUCUCUCAGCUGAUACACAGUGAAGCUACUGUAGAAACAUGGCGGUGCAAAGACUCUUUGAAGAGGAACCGCUCCCUGUGUAGAUAUGAAGCGCUCAUUCUGAGGGAACGAAAACACAGUUUCAGUCAAAGUUGUACGGAACCCCUGGGGUGGGGCGGGGGGGACUACU